UACGUAGGGGGCAAGCGUUGUCCGGAUUUACUGGGCGUAAAGAGCGUGUAGGCGGCCAAGCAGGUCCGUUGUGAAAACUGGAGGCUUAACCUCCAGACGUCGACGGAAACCGCGUGGCUAGAGUCCGGAAGAGGAGAGUGGAAUUCCUGGUGUAGCGGUGAAAUGCGCAGAUAUCAGGAAGAACGCCCGUGGCGAAGGCGGCUCUCUGGGACGGUACUGACGCUGAGACGCGAAAGCGUGGGGAGCGAACAGG
rnacentral:rRNA from 1 species